rnacentral:rRNA from 1 species
UACGAAGGGGGCUAGCGUUGCUCGGAAUCACUGGGCGUAAAGCGCACGUAGGCGGACUCUUAAGUCGGUGGUGAAAUCCUGGAGCUCAACUCCAGAACUGCCUCCGAUACUGGGAGUCUUGGAGUCCGGGAGAGGUGAGUGGAACUGCGAAGUGUAGAGGUGAAAUUCGUAGAAUAUUCGCAAGAACACCAGUGGCGAAAGGCGGCUCACUGGCCCGGUACUGAACGCUGAGGUGCGAAAGCGUGGGGAGCAAACAGGG